rnacentral:SRP_RNA from 1 species
UGUCAGGGCCCGUGGAAUGCGGACUUGUGAACCCCGCCAGGGCCGGAAGGCAGCAACGGUGCUUGCUCCGCAUCUGCCGCGGUCACCCUGGCAUCU